AAGUCGUAACAAGGUCUCCGUUGGUGAACCAGCGGAGGGAUCAUUAGAGAGUGUUAAAACUCCCAACCCAUGUGAACAUACCUAUCGUUGCCUCGGCGGAGGGGCCGCCCAACACUGCCUACCCGGGUCUCGCUACCCGGCGCGGCAGGGUGCCCCCGCCGCCGCUGGCCCGCGAAACUCUGUUUUAUCUUGCAACUCUGAAUCUUAAAACAAAUAAGUUAAAACUUUCAACAACGGAUCUCUUGGUUCUG
rnacentral:misc_RNA from 1 species